rnacentral:rRNA from 1 species
GAUGAACGCUGGCGGCGUGCUUAACACAUGCAAGUCGAACGGAAAGGCCCAAGCUUGCUUGGGUACUCGAGUGGCGAACGGGUGAGUAACACGUGGGUGAUCUGCCCUGCACUUCGGGAUAAGCCUGGGAAACUGGGUCUAAUACCGGAUAGGACCACUUCUUGGAUGUUGUGGUGGAAAGUUUUUUCGGUGUGGGAUGAGCUCGCGGCCUAUCAGCUUGUUGGUGGGGUAAUGGCCUACCAAGGCGUCGACGGGUAGCCGGCCUGAGAGGGUGUACGGCCACAUUGGGACUGAGAUACGGCCCAGGCUCCGACGGGAGGCAGCAGGGGGGAAUAUUGCACAAUGGGCGCAAGCCUGAUGCAGCGACGCCGCGUGGGGGAUGACGGCCUUCGGGUUGUAAACUCCUUUCGCUAGGGACGAAGCGUUUUGUGACGGUACCUGGAGAAGAAGCACCGGCUAACUACGUG